CGAAGAUGCAGUAGCACAACAGGUAUGCCCUAGUAACGGCGAGUGAAGCGGCAACAGCUCAAAUUUGAAAUCUGGCACAAGCCCGAGUUGUAAUUUGUAGAGGAUGCUUCUAGGCAGCGGCCGGUCUAAGUCUCUUGGAACAGGGCGUCAUAGAGGGUGAGAAUCCCGUAUGUGACCGGCUGGCACCUUACACGUAGCUCCUUCGACGAGUCGAGUUGUUUGGGAAUGCAGCUCUAAAUGGGAGGUAAAUUUCUUCUAAAGCUAAAUACCGGCCAGAGACCGAUAGCGCACAAGUAGAGUGAUCGAAAGAUGAAAAGCACUUUGGAAAGAGAGUUAAAAAGCACGUGAAAUUGUUGAAAGGGAAGCGCUUGCAACCAGACUUGUUGGCGGUGUUCCGCCGGUCUUCUGACCGGUCUACUCGCCGCCCGCAGGCCAGCGUCGUCUGGGGCCGCCGGAGAAAGGCGUUGGGAAUGUGGCUCCCCCGGGAGUGUUAUAGCCCAUCGCACAAUACGGCGCGCGCCGGGCGAGGUCCGCGCUUCGGCAAGGACGCUGGCGUAAUGGUCGUAAGCGGCCCGUCUUGAAACACGGACCUA
rnacentral:rRNA from 1 species